ensembl:lncRNA
CCACUUUUUAAUACUUUAGAAAUAAAUAAAUAAGUAAAUGGGAAGGAAAACCCAAACUGAGCUCCUCUUCCUCCUGGAAGGCUCUUCCUCACCCUUCGGAGCACCCUGACCUGGUUUUGCUGCAUCCUCCAAAGCAACAGUGCCUGAGUUUCCUCUACCACAGUUUGGCUGUAUGUGGGCUGGAUGUCACCAACCGGCGUUGUUUUCAGUGCUAAAACUCCAGGAGGAUCCAUGCAAUGGGGUUCCUCAAAUAAAAAAAGCAUUCCCUCUGUUGGCGCUUGCACUGCGCUGCUCAGUGUGCUUCUGUGUCCCUGGAUAUCGGGACUCUGGUGCACCCAGCUGCUUGCUGGGGAUGCUGUUUGCUAGGAAUUUCAUCCUGACUUACGUUUCGUAUCCCCAGCGUGCUCGGAGAACCAUCCUUGUGGAGGACUUCGGUGCACUGAACUGCAGAGCCCCAGCAUUGGGGGAUCCUGGAGCUGGAUCACCUUCUUCUAACCCCCGUUCGUGGCAAACCUCAUCUCUUUAUUCAGCUGAUAGCCUUUUGGGACCUGGCUAAAAGCUUCUCCGUCCUUCGAUGUGAAGGGUGUCCUGUAGGCCAACACAAAGAGCUCAGCACCAGCAGCCCUGCGAAUUCCCGCUGUUCAAAAAGUCUUAUAAUGGGCAACCAACCUCUGGGAGACGGUUUGUGAAUUGGUUGAAAUAACAGGCCUGGCUCUCUUCUGGGAAGCUACGUGGAGGUCAGCCUUGAAGAAAAGAGCGGUACAGCAGCUCCAAGCAUUAGCAAGAAGAAAUAACUGAAGCAGAGAGACUUGAACGUAAUUACAGCCUAAGAGCUGCGAUGGGAACUCAGCGACCUGAGCCCAUCUCCUGGACUCCUGUGCAAUCAACAGAUUGACACCACCAGCUCGUGAGGGCUGGUUUCUGGAAGCUGUGCAACGGUGCUGAAUGCCAGAGCAGGUGUAGAAGCAGCACAGGUGGCUGUUCCAAAGGCUGGAGCUAGGAAAGGGUCUCAAAUGCCAUGGAAGAAGCAGAUGGAAGCAACCACUGGAACGCUCCGCGCUUAAUUGAGGACACCUUCAAGGGUGAGCACGAGGUGACUGCCCACCACCAGGAUGCUCUGCUGCUGCCACGCGAGUCGCUGUCAUUAGAACCAGGAAUGGAGUUUAUAGCUGAGUAACCACAACAACUUUGCACAAAUUAAACAACAUACUGCAGGUUAAUUAGAUUUCUUACUGCUGCCUCAAUUAACUUAGCCCUGUCGUCUGCUGUCAGAAGUGGAUGGAGACCCUUUGAAAUUCAUGGGCUCUAUCGCUGGGAGAUGGGAAUGGCAAAACCUCUCCCUGGGCAACAACACCUCUGAGUGAUGUGUGUUUGCAUGGAUGGGCGAUGCCAUCUUCUGUGCUUGGAAACCCCUUUGUGUGGCAGGGGAGAACAGCAGGAGAUGCACUCGUCCUCCACCAGCGUGGUGACCAAGGAGGAUUUCCCCUCUGGUGUUUCAAACUCACCUCGUCGUAAGACAAUCUUAAAAAACAAACAGCAAAAAAAAUGAUAUAUAUAUAUAUAUAUGGAGGAAAAGUCUUUUUUUUUUUCCUUAAUCAUUCCACACAACGCUGUGUGAAUGCAAAUAAAUAAAAGGGCCCCC